UACGUAGGGUGCGAGCGUUGUCCGGAAUUAUUGGGCGUAAAGAGCUCGUAGGCGGUCUGUCGCGUCGGUCGUGAAAACUCGGGGCUUAACCCUGAGCUUGCGGUCGAUACGGGCAUGACUGGAGUUCGGCAGGGGAGACUGGAAUUCCUGGUGUAGCGGUGAAAUGCGCAGAUAUCAGGAGGAACACCGGUGGCGAAGGCGGGUCUCUGGGCCGAUACUGACGCUGAGGAGCGAAAGCGUGGGGAGCGAACAGG
rnacentral:rRNA from 1 species